UGGAAAGCUAGUCCAGGAGGCGAUGGCCAGCAACGAGCAGUGCACGUCCCUCGAUGAGGCAGCAAUAGCCAAGAAGCGCAUCUUUCCGGCACCCAUGAAUGCCGCCUUUACAAGGCCUUCCAAAAGGGAACUCGUGGAGGAAAAGAGGUCCCGGUUCGGCCAGGUUACCCCGUGAGGGACCUCCUCAAAUCCCUCCUGUCACCCGUGCACUCGAUGGACACCUGCCUCGGCCAAGCGGGCGUUAGGGGGCAUGGUUAACACAUCGAAGGCACGGAAGGGACAUGCCACAGCACGAGAAAAGAGAACGGAUCCAACGUAUGAGUACGUUGGAAAGCUAGUCCAGGAGGCGAUGGCCAGCAACGAGCAGUGCACGUCCCUCGAUGAGGCAGCAAUAGCCAAGAAGCGCAUCUUUCCGGCACCCAUGAAUGC